UACGUAGGGUGCGAGCGUUUGUCCGGAAUUACUGGGCGUAAAGAGCUCGUAGGGUGGUUUUGUCGCGUUGUCCGUGAAAACUCACAACUCAAUUGUGGGCGUGCGGGCGAUACGGGCAGACUGGAGUACUGCAGGGGAGACUGGAAUUCCUGGUGUAGCGGUGGAAUGCGCAGAUAUCAGGAGGAACACCGGUGGCGAAGGCAGGAUCUCUGGGCCGAAUGACUCUGAGGAGCGAAAGCUGGGGAGCGAACAGG
rnacentral:rRNA from 1 species